rnacentral:rRNA from 1 species
CCUACGGGGGGCAGCAGUGAGGAAUAUUGGUCAAUGGACGAGAGUCUGAACCAGCCAAGUAGCGUGAAGGAUGACUGCCCUAUGGGUUGUAAACUUCUUUUAUAGGGGAAUAAAAUGUUCCACGUGUGGGAUGUUGUAUGUACCAUAUGAAUAAGGAUCGGCUAACUCCGUGCCAGCAGCCGCGGUAAUACGGAGGAGACGAGCGUUAUCCGGAUUUAUUGGGUUUAAAGGGAGCGUAGGUGGAUUGUUAAGUCAGUUGUGAACGUUUGCGGCUUAACCGUAAAAGUGCAGUUGAAACUGGCAGUCUUGCGUACAGUAGAGGUGGGCGGACUUCGUGGUGUAGCGG